rnacentral:rRNA from 1 species
CCCUCCCCCUUUCUUCAGGCCUAACACAUGCAAGUCGAGCGAGGACUUCGGUUCUAGCGGCGGACGGGUGAGUAACGCGUGGGAAUGUGCCCUUCUCUACGGAAUAGCCCUGGGAAACUGGGAGUAAUACCGUAUACGCCCUAUUGGGGAAAGAUUUAUCGGAGAAGGAUCAGCCCGCGUUGGAUUAGGUAGUUGGUGGGGUAAUGGCCUACCAAGCCGACGAUCCAUAGCUGGUUUGAGAGGAUGAUCAGCCACACUGGGACUGAGACACGGCCCAGACUCCUACGGGAGGCAGCAGUGGGGAAUCUUAGACAAUGGGGGCAACCCUGAUCUAGCCAUGCCGCGUGAGUGAUGAAGGCCUUAGGGUUGUAAAGCUCUUUCAGCUGGGAAGAUAAUGACGGUACCAGCAGAAGAAGCCCCGGCUAACUCCGUG